UACGUAGGGUGCAAGCGUUAAUCGGAAUUACUGGGCGUAAAGCGUGCGCAGGCGGUUAUGCAAGACAGAUGUGAAAUCCCCGGGCUCAACCUGGGAACUGCAUUUGUGACUGCAUGGCUAGAGUACGGUAGAGGGGGAUGGAAUUCCGCGUAUAGCAGUGAAAUGCGUAGAUAUGCGGAGGAACACCGAUGGCGAAGGCAAUCCCCUGGACCUGUACUGACGCUCAUGCACGAAAGCGUGGGGAGCAAACAGG
rnacentral:rRNA from 1 species